UGGGGAAUAUUGGACAAUGGGGGCAACCCUGAUCCAGCCAUGCCGCGUGUGUGAAGAAGGCCUUCGGGUUGUAAAGCUCUUUUAGUCGGAAAGAAAGAGUUGCAAUGAAUAAUUGUGAUUUAUGACGGUACCGACAGAAAAAGCACCGGCUAACUACGUGCCAGCAGCCGCGGUAAUACGUAGGGUGCGAGCGUUUAUCGGAAUUACUGGGCGUAAAGGGUGCGCAGGCGGUCUUGCAAGUCAGAUGUGAAAGCCCCGGGCUUAACCUGGGAAUUGCGUUUGAAACUACAAGGCUAGAGUGCAGCAGAGGGGAGUGGAAUUCCAUGUGUAGCAGUGAAAUGCGUAGAGAUGUGGAAGAACACCGAUGGCGAAGGCAGCUCCCUGGGUUGACACUGACGCUCAUGCACGAAAGCGUGGGGAGCAAACA
rnacentral:rRNA from 1 species